CAGGCUUAACACAUGCAAUUCGAGGGGCAGCAUGGUCUUAGCUUGCUAAGGCCGAUGGCGACCGGCGCACGGGUGAGUAACACGUAUCCAACCUGCCGUCUACUCUUGGACAGCCUUCUGAAAGGAAGAUUAAUACAAGAUGGCAUCAUGAGUCCGCAUGUUCACAUGAUUAAAGGUAUUCCGGUAGACGAUGGGGAUGCGUUCCAUUAGAUAGUAGGCGGGGUAACGGCCCACCUAGUCUUCGAUGGAUAGGGGUUCUGAGAGGAAGGUCCCCCACAUUGGAACUGAGACACGGUCCAAACUCCUACGGGAGGCAGCAGUGAGGAAUAUUGGUCAAUGGGCGAGAGCCUGAACCAGCCAAGUAGCGUGAAGGAUGACUGCCCUAUGGGUUGUAAACUUCUUUUAUAAAGGAAUAAAGUCGGGUAUGUAUACCCGUUUGCAUGUACUUUAUGAAUAAGGAUCGGCUAACUCCGUGCCAGCAGCCGCGGUAAUACGGAGGAUCCGAGCGUUAUCCGGAUUUAUUGGGUUUAAAGGGAGCGUAGAUGGAUGUUUAAGUCAGUUGUGAAAGUUUGCGGCUCAACCGUAAAAUUGCAGUUGAUACUGGAUAUCUUGAGUGCAGUUGAGGCAGGCGGAAUUCGUGGUGUAGCGGUGAAAUGCUUAGAUAUCACGAAGAACUCCGAUUGCGAAGGCAGCCUGCUAA
rnacentral:rRNA from 1 species